rnacentral:rRNA from 1 species
ACUCGGGAAACUGAGGUUAAUGCGCCAUAGGAUAAUGAAACUGGAAUGUUCGUUUUCUAAAAGGACAGCUAUCAUCUUAGUGUAGUCGCUUUAGGAUGGGUCUGCGGCAGAUUAGGUUGUUGGCGGGGUAACUGCCCACCAAGCCUACGAUCUGUACGGGUCUUGUAAGAGAGAGCCCGGAGAAGGAGACUGAGAAAAGGCUCCUAGCCCUACGGGGUGCAGCAGGGACGAAACCUUUACACUGUGCGAAAGCGCGAUAGGGUAAUUCCCAGUGCUAGCUUAGCUAGCUUUUAUAGAGUGUAAAUAGCUCUAUGAAUAAGUGGUGGGUAAGAUACGUGCCAGCCGCCGCGGUAAUACGUACUCCACAAGUGGUGCUCGCGAUUAUUGGGCUUAAAGAAUCUGUAGCCUGUUAAACAAGUCUUUUGUUAAAUCAAUCAGCUUAACUGAUUGGCCGCAAAGGAUACUAUUUGACUAGAGGAAGGGAGACGUUUGAAGUAUUUCUAGGGUACCGGUGAAAUGGGAUAAUCCUAGAAGGACUACCAGUAGCGAAGGCGUCAAACGAGAACUAACCUGACGGUGAGAGAUGAAAGCUGGGGGAGCGACCCGGAUUAGAUACCCGGUUAGUCCCAGCCGUAAACGAUGCUGACUAGAUGUAGCGAUAACUACGUGUUUUCGCUGUGUCGUAGGGAAACCGUUAAGUCAGCCGCCUGAGGAGUAUGGCUGCAAAGCUGAAACUUAA